UGGGACAAUCUCUGAAGCUCAGGAGGGAUAGCGCCUAGAAUCAGAAUAACUAGGCGCUAUCUAUCCUGAGCUCCACGGUUUGUUCAU
rnacentral:pre_miRNA from 1 species